rnacentral:rRNA from 1 species
GACGAACGCUGGCGGCGUGCCUAACACAUGCAAGUGGAGCGACGAACCGGACUUCGGUCCGGGGCAAAGCCGCGAACGGGUGAGUAACACGUGGGUAACCUGCCCCGAUGAUUGGGACAACCCGAGGAAACUCGGGCUAAUACCGAAUGUGCCCUACGGCCGCAAGACCGCUGGGGAAAGGAAGCUUCGGCCUCCGCAUCGGGAUGGGCCCGCGGCCCAUUGGCUUGUUGGUGAGGUAAAGGCUCACCAAGGCUACGAUGGGUAGCUGGUCUGGAGGA